CCAUCCGCGCCGAGUUGCUUCCGGGAAAACAAGCCCAGAAGGCGGCGGACACUCGCAUAAAGUCACGCAGUAGUACUCGGAGCCCGGGGUAGAACCUGGACUUCAAAUCUCUGCACUCCCGGCCGGGUGGUGGGCGCAUAUCCUGGGUAGCCUCUAGGAAGCGCUAGACACAUGGAACCAAGGCAGAUUCAGCCUGGCAGCUGGCAAGUCAUGGAGCACUGCCUGUCCAUCUGCGAGCUAACAACAGUCGCGCUGGAAGUCAACAAGGGAAAUGGAAAGGGAGAGACCCAGCCUCCACAGGGGCUCACGCCCUGGGACCUGUGCCAGUGUGAACAAGGUUUUCCGGUUCUAGCCAGAGGAAGCUGCAGCCAGGCCUGGCAGUCUCCCCUGCUCCCUUCCACCAGCUUGGUUCCUGUUUCUGCUGGUCCUGGGAGCCCCCAGCAGAUGGACUGCCCUUAUCAGCCGGCUCCAGGCCAGAGGAGGAAUCCUCCGGUCACGUGUGGCUCUCUGGAGGGAGAGAGACCUCAUAAAUACAUACAGCCCACGCAGAGGAAGGGGGGAGGGUCAAGGGGAAAGAAACCUUGACAUUCUGGCGACUGGGCCAGGAUUAAAGUCCACCAGGCAUAGUCCUUAUUGGCUAUUUCUAUGAGGAAUCUCAAAUCCACAUGGCUUCCCUGGAUGACAACGCUGACUUUGACUAGCCCUGGGAUCUGGGGCAUUCCCAGUGUGCUGCUGGCUUGAUCCAGGCCUAAUCCUUUGCCCAGGACUGACCUUUCACAGUUUACAGAGCACUUUAUCUCCUGGCUCAGUGAAGUCUCACAGAACCCUCCAGAGAGAAGGGAGUUUAUCAUCACCCUCAAUUUACAGAUGAGGAAGCUGAGGCUGCGAUUGUAACUGACUGACUGCUGGCUACGCAGCUACAAGUGACCGAGUCCAGCCUGAAAGCCACAUAUAUUCUCCCACAAAAUCCAGAGCUGCCAAACACAUCCUCCUCCAUGAGUCUUGCUUUGUGCCCAUCACUGAGCUCCAUGCCCCGGGCGAGCCAUCGUUCCUGCCUGGCGAAGUCCACAAUCCAAUAAGGAGGGAAGGUUGAAGGGAUGAAUCUCAACAGAAUUGUGCACAGUGAAAGAAGCCAAUGAAAGAAGAGUACAUAUUGUAUAAUUCCAUUUAUAGAAAACUCUAGAAAAUGCAAGCUGAUCUACAGUGACAGAAAGCAGAUCCAUGGUUGUUUGGGGAAGUGAGGCAGAAGGAAAGGAUUCAGAGAAGCACAAGGAACCUUUUAGGGUGGUAGACAUGCUUACUAUCUGGUACUGAGAGUUUCUCAUGUCUGCACGUAUCUAAUUGUACACUUUAAAUACACACAGUUUAUUGUAUGUCAAUUAUAUCUCCAUAAAGCUAUUUAAAAAGAGGAACGUAAGUGGGGAAAAGAAUGAAGGAAGUUGGCUGGCGUAUAAUUAAGUAAGUCUGUGAGCAGUCUUAAAGUGGGGACACAAAGUACCAUGGGCACGUAAGAGAAGAAGGUAGAGAUUCAUUCCCAAACGGAAGAGAUCAGGAAGGAGUUCUUAGAACAGGGUUUCAACAAAGCUCAAGGUAUGGAUAAGUAAGGGUCAGGUUAAGAAAGAUUCAGAUGGAAGAUACAGAUAGAGUUUAUUUGGGAAAUAGAGAGUGGAGUAUUAUACACACGCACAAUUCGCCUUUUUACCCAAGUUUUGAAGGACUGAAGUUAAAACUAACAGCAACUAUCCUCUCUUUUCUUCAGAAAUUCAGACACAUGCCCUACUUGGCAGGCAGCUAGUUUUGCUAAUAAGAUUCCUGCCCUUCUCCCUCCCUCUCUGUGCAUCUCAUCCCUUCGGUCCCGCUGAGGCCCCUACCCUCUCGGAUUUCCUCUUUGAACUGAACUGCCAAAUACUUGCCAGCUUCCAGGGCCCUGAGUACCCACAUUUCAGCCUCUUCCAAACCCCAGAGUAAGAAGGAGAUUUGGGGAGUUCUGGGUGGGCAUGUGAUGGGAGACUAGGUCCAACAUAAAAAGAUAUUUCCCUUUUUCUUCCAUACUUUUUGGCUUAGUAAUUGACAUGUGACCAUUGGAGAAUUUUGAAUAGUUUAUUAGAAUACAUUGUGAUAGAGAAGAAGGAAAUUCAAGAAUUGUUACAAUGUUGUACACUGAUUAACUGGCUAAUUUGCUGCAAAACCAAUUCUGAUCACUGCUCUUAUGGUUUGUAAUACAUUAUUUUGGGUUUGGAUGAUCCUGUUAUUCAUAGCUUUACAUAAAGAAAUAUUCCAAUGACAUAUGAAACCCAUAUAUGAAAUUGUGGGUUAGCUCUUGCUUUCAAUUUUGUAUUAUGUUUGUUGAUUUUAAACUGUCUCCUUUCAAAAGUUUCCUUAUUAAUUAAAUAAACCACUC
rnacentral:lncRNA from 1 species